rnacentral:tRNA from 1 species
UGAGGAUGUGGCUCAGUGGUAGAGUGCUUGCCUACCAUGUGGGAAACCCUGAGUUUGAGCCCCAGCACCACAA